AACGAACGCUGGCGGCAUGCCUAACACAUGCAAGUCGAACGAGACCUUCGGGUCUAGUGGCGCACGGGUGCGUAACGCGUGGGAACCUGCCCUUAGGUUCGGAAUAACUCCCCGAAAGGGGUGCUAAUACCGGAUAAUGUCUUCGGACCAAAGAUUUAUCGCCUUUGGAUGGGCCCGCGUUGGAUUAGCUAGUUGGUAGGGUAAAAGCCUACCAAGGCGACGAUCCAUAGCUGGUCUGAGAGGAUGAUCAGCCACACUGGGACUGAGACACGGCCCAGACUCCUACGGGAGGCAGCAGUGGGGAAUAUUGGACAAUGGGCGAAAGCCAGAUCCAGCAAUGCCGCGUGAGUGAUGAAGGCCUUAGGGUUGUAAGGCUCUUUUACCCGGGAUGAUAAUGACAGUACCGGGAGAAUAAGCUCCGGCUAACUCCGUG
rnacentral:rRNA from 1 species